CGCGUAUACAAUCUACCUUGUACUAGGGGAUAGCCUUUAGAAAUGAAGAUUAAUACCCUAUAGUAUGUAUUUGUGGCAUCACAUUAUACAUUAAAGGUUACGGUAUAAGAUGAGUAUGCGUCCUAUUAGUUAGUUGGUAAGGUAACGGCUUACCAAGACUACGAUAGGUAGGGGCCCUGAGAGGGGGAUCCCCCACACUGGUACUGAGACACGGACCAGACUCCUACGGGAGGCAGCAGUGAGGAAUAUUGGACAAUGGAGGCAACUCUGAUCCAGCCAUGCCGCGUGCAGGAAGACGGC
rnacentral:rRNA from 1 species